rnacentral:rRNA from 1 species
UGCCGCGUGGAGGAUGAAGGUCUUCGGAUUGUAAACUCCUGUUGCCAGGGACGAAUAGCUCCGACCUAACACGUCGGAGUGUGACGGUACCUGGUGAGGGAAGCCCCGGCUAACUCUGUGCCAGCAGCCGCGGUAAUACAGAGGGGGCGAGCGUUGUUCGGAAUUACUGGGCGUAAAGGGCGCGUAGGCGGCCCGCUAAGUCGAACGUGAAAUCCCCAGGCUCAACCUGGGAACUGCGUCCGAUACUGGCAGGCUUGAAUCCGGGAGAGGGAUGUGGAAUUCCAGGUGUAGCGGUGAAAUGCGUAGAUAUCUGGAGGAACACCGGUGGCGAAGGCGGCAUCCUGGACCGGUAUUGACGCUGAGGCGCGAAAGCUAGGGGAGCAAACGGGAUUAGAUACCCCGGUAGUCCUAGCCCUAAACGAUGAAUGCUUGGUGUGGCGGGUAUCGAUCCCUGCCGUGCCGAAGCUAACGCAUUAAGCAUUCCGCCUGGGGAGUACGGUCGCAAGGCUG